rfam:Triticum aestivum genome assembly, contig: Triticum_aestivum_CS42_TGACv1_scaffold_112371_2AS
CUACUAUUUCCUCCGUCCGAAAACACUUGUCAUUAAAAUGGAUACAAGUAAUGUAUCUAGAACUAAAAUACGUCUAGAUACAUCCUCUUUUAUCUAUUUUCAUGACAAGUAUUUCCGGACGGAGGGAGUACAAU